CAACGUCUCAAGCCAACGUCACAUUGACAUCAAAUACUGAUGUUUUGUCGUCAGGUAUGGCAACCUAAAUUCAACAUCUAGUAGACGUCAUUAUGGUAACGUCCAAUCAACGUCAAGUUAUAACAUCAUUUGAUGUUGAUCUGUAGUUAGUUUUAGGUUGUGGCAUUAACUAACCAAAAUCCAACGUCGAGCCAACGUCUCAAGCCAACGUCACAUUGACAUCAAAAACUUAUGUUUUGUCGUCAGGUAUGGCAACCAUAAUCCAACGUUUUCUAGACAUCAUAAUGGCAACAUCCACACAACGUCAAAUUAAAACAUCAUUUGAUGUUGAUCUGUAGUUAGUUUUAGGUUGUGGCAUUAACUAACCAAAAUCCAACGUCGAGCCAACGUCUCAAGCCAACGUCAGAUUGACAUCAAAAACUGAUACUUAGUCGUCAGGUAUGGCAACCAAAAUCCAAUGUCUUCAAGACGUCAUAAUGGUAACGUCCAAUCAACGUCAAAUUAUAACGUCAUUUGACUUUGAUCUUUAGUUAGUUUUAGGUUGUGGCAUUAACUAACCAAAAUCCAACGUUGAGCCAACGUCUCAAGCCAACGUCACACUGACAUCAAAUACUGAUGUUUUGUCGUCAGGUAUGGCAACCAAAAUCCAACAUCUUGUAGACGUCAUUAUGGUAACGUCCGAUCAACGUCAAGUUAUAACAUCAUUUGAUGUUGAUCUGUAGUUAGUUUUAGGUUGUGGCAUUAACUAACCAAAAUCCAACGUCGAGCCAACGUCUCAAGCCAACGUCACAUUGACAUCAAAAACUUAUGUUCUGUGUUUGAUUUUUUUAUCUGUUGGUAUUUGAUAGAAUCCAUGAUGUCAUGUAUCUAAACAAGAUAUCCAGGACCUCCAGCAGAAAUAUAGGCCCAGAAAAUAAAAAAUACAGCAGUAUAUUUCAUUGUACACAUGGGGUACUUUUUUCUCUCUGUGCUCACCAAACCCAUCUUGAGUGUUUGCUGCUAAAAAGCUCAUUUUUUAGUUUCAUCUGAUCAUAGAAGCCAUUCCCAUGUAAAGUUCCAGUCUUGGCUGAUAACUGAAUAUGCUUUAGUUUGUUUUUGAAUGAGCUAGGAGAAUUUUUCUUGUAACCCUCCCAAACAAAAUGUGUUGAUGUAGGUUCUGUUUGACAAUUUUUUUAACGGUUUUCUGAACCAGAGACUCUGCUAUUUUCUGCAAUUCUCCAGCUGUGACCCUACUAGUUUUUAGCUACUCAAACUCUCCUUAUCAUCGCACAUUAGGAUGAUUUAAACACACGUCCUCUUCCAGGCAGUUUUGUAACAUUUUCUGUUGAUUGGAAAUUCUUAAUUAUUGCCCUGAUGGUGGAAAUAGGAAUUUUCACUGCUCUAGCUCUUUUCUUAAAGCCACUUCACCAAUUUGUGAAGCUCAAUUAUCUUUUGCUGCACAUCAGAAAUACAUUCUUUGGUUUUU
ensembl:lncRNA